rnacentral:lncRNA from 1 species
AAAAGAGCUUUAAAAGAACCUUCAAAGCUUUGAACUUUAUGUAUCCUCUAAGAUAUAUCAAAAUUGUAUGAAUCCAUAUAUUGGUAUUUGAGCCCCAAUGCUCUUAUUAUCAUAAAAGAACUUUGAAGUCAUUGAGAGUUAAUGAUCCAACUUGAUGAUAUGUUUUUCGAGUAUAUAAGUUUUGAUCUUAUACUCUGAAAAUUAAUUAAAUUGCUCUCAUGUUGAUAAAAUACUUAAUAUAUUGGGCAAAAGAUCUUAAAUGAACAAGCUUUCAUACUUAUUAUUGAAGAGAUGUUAGAUUUCCAUUCGUGCUUUCCUUGAAUAUCAUUUGUGGUACUUCUUGAAUUAACCUAAGAAAGAUUCCACCUACACUUGAUUAGAAAACUAUCUGUGGUAUCAAAUUAGAAAACUUCUUGAAAUCACAUUCGAUGUGUUCUGCUCUAAAAUUAUCUUAAUUGGCUCUGAUCUAUG